GAUGGACGCUGGCGGCGUGCCUAAUACAUGCAAGUCGAGCGAACGGACGAGAAGCUUGCUUCUCUGAUGUUAGCGGCGGACGGGUGAGUAACACGUGGAUAACCUACCUAUAAGACUGGGAUAACUUCGGGAAACCGGAGCUAAUACCGGAUAAUAUUUUGAACCGCAUGGUUCAAAAGUGAAAGACGGUCUUGCUGUCACUUAUAGAUGGAUCCGCGCUGCAUUAGCUAGUUGGUAAGGUAACGGCUUACCAAGGCAACGAUGCAUAGCCGACCUGAGAGGGUGAUCGGCCACACUGGAACUGAGACACGGUCCAGACUCCUACGGGAGGCAGCAGUAGGGAAUCUUCCGCAAUGGGCGAAAGCCUGACGGAGCAACGCCGCGUGAGUGAUGGAGGUCUUCGGAUCGUAAAACUCUGUUAUUAGGGAAGAACAUAUGUGUAAGUAACUGUGCACAUCUUGACGGUACCUAAUCAGAAAGCCACGGCUAACUACGUG
rnacentral:rRNA from 1 species